rnacentral:lncRNA from 1 species
CUUUCUCCAUUUGCCAGCCCAUGGCAUUGCUGCCACCCUGAUGGAGCGCCCUCUCAUCUGGCACCUUCCUGGCCUCUUUCCCAGGCCCCAGUUCUGUCCAUGCAGCUGUGGGUGCUUCCUGCAUUGCGGGUCUCACGGGGAGGAGACGAGAGUGCCCCUGGUUGAGUCAGGAAAGAAUUCUAUCUUCACGUCGCUGCCAGCAAAUGACCACAGCAGCUUCACGACCUCUGCAGGAACCUAUCUUGGUAAAGAAACGGGGCCUAUGUGGUGGCCGAGCCUCAGGUGUGGCCGAGCUUCAGGUGUGGCCCUUAUGCACAGCACAGCCCAAGCCUGUGGGCACCACUCGCCCUGGGCUGCCUGGCACCUGGACUCCUUCCCAUCCUUGGCCGAGGUCUGCGUGGCCCUUCAGGGCCGAAUCUGACACUGUCUUCCUCCUGAGUCUGCCCCCCGGGCUUCCUGCCCACCCCCAGGCUGUUUCAUGGCCUCUGCAGGGAGCUUCGUAGAGGUGAGGCUGGUGCCAUCUGUCUGCUUCAGACCACCUCAGGCUCUGCGUGCCCUCACAGUCCCCUCUGCACUUCUCUGUGGGGCAGGGAAGCCCUUCCCAUCAGGUCUGCUCCAGCCUGGCUACCUUGUUCCUGCUGUCCCCUCCCCUUCAGGCCCCCGGACAAGACUUCAGUGUACUUGCUGGUGCCGGGCAGAAUGGGGGACCUUGCCUCUCACACACACCUGCUAGUAUCUCCGCAACCUCCAGGCAUCAUCUCAGCUGACAGUGACGCCAUCCUGGGGAAGCUCCCCUGACUCCUGGCUCUCCUGGAAGCCUGUGGUGCUCCUUCACAAUGGCCCGUGGCCCUUCAUAGGUCCCGUAAGCCAGUGUCACAGGGAUUCGGCUUUUCUCUUCUGUGUUUGCCUGCUGCGGGACUGUGAGCAGCUUCAGGGCCAAGACAGUGCCUUUCCAUCCGUGAAUCUCCUGAUCCAUCAGAAUACUCGAAAGAGAAAUACCGACUGAGUGUAUUCAUUAAAGAAUUAAUGUUCCUUACAGGAUCAUUUGUUGUUGAACUGACCUGACAUGUGUAUAGUAAUCUCAUGAACAAGAAAGAAUGUGUUCACACGUUUGCUUAAAUUGAAUUUAGCAAUCGCAUUAGGAUACUGAUAUUUCCACAAUGUAUAUACACUAUCCUUUUAAAUUUAACUUAUUUGCUUUUUAGACGGAAGCUCCUCAGUCUUAGAGAGUUCUGAAGGUGGAUUUCUCAGCCACGUUCAACCUGAUGAGUUCACUGCUUCUUCCCCAAACAUUGCAGAGCUGCAGGAAAUUUGGGCUGUGAACUUACGUGUGAUGUUUACUAUUAUGCAAAUGCUCAGACGACACACACGACCUACCCUGAUGGUUUGGAAGUUGUGCAGUUUCUUAACAAGCAGACAGAUCAGACCCUCUAGUUGCAGGAAAAAAAGCUCAGGGCGGUCGAGUGCAGUGGCUCACGCCUGUAAUCCCAGCACUUUGGGAGGCCAAGGUGGGCAGAUCACAAGGUGAGGAGUUCGAGACCAACCUGGUAAACAUAGGGAAACCCUAUCUCUUCUAAAAAAAAAAAAAUACAAAAAAUUAGUUGGGCGUGGUGGAUGGCACCUGUAAUCUUAGCUACUCAGGAGGCUGAGGCAGGAGAAUCGUUUGAACCUGGGAGGUGGAGGUUGCAGUGAGCCAAGAUCAUGCCAUUGCACUCCAGCCCGGGUUACAGUGUGAGGCUUUCUAAAAACAAAAACAAAACAACAACAACAACAAAACA